CGUAUCACCCAAGACAACUUUACGGAGUUGACGAUUGACGGAGCGAAGCGACGUCAAAGCGUUCAUUAAAGUCGAGUUGGCUUAGGGAUACGUUCGUUGGGUAGGGGAGCGUUCUGUAAGCCUGUGAAGGUGUGUCGUGAGGCAUGCUGGAGGUAUCAGAAGUGCGAAUGCUGACAUAAGUAACGAUAAAGCGGGUGAAAAGCCCGCUCGCCGGAAGACCAAGGGUUCCUGUCCAACGUUAAUCGGGGCAGGGUGAGUCGACCCCUAAGGCGAGGCCGAAAGGCGUAGUCGAUGGGAAACGGGUUAAUAUUCCCGUACUUGGUGUUACUGCGAAGGGGGGACGGAGAAGGCUAUGUUGGCCGGGCGACGGUUGUCCCGGUUUAAGCGUGUAGGUGUGUGUUCCAGGUAAAUCCGGUUCACUUUAACACUGAGGCGUGACGACGAGGCACUACGGUGCUGAAGCAACAAAUGCCCUGCUUCCAGGAAAAGCCUCUAAGCAUCAGGUAACAUCAAAUCGUACCCCAAACCGACACAGGUGGUCAGGUAGAGAAUACCAAGGCGCUUGAGAGAACUCGGGUGAAGGAACUAGGCAAAAUGGUGCCGUAACUUCGGGAGAAGGCACGCUGACACGUAGGUGAAGUGAUUUACUCA
rnacentral:rRNA from 4 species